AUUUAGUAAACGCAUCCAUAUUACAGGGAUCUAAAAUAGAGCUACUGAGUGUACCUUGGAUUUAUGACAUUAUAUUUAUUUAAAAAGGUGCAAUACGCAGAAAUCGCUCCGCCAUUUCCAUGUUGCUAAAUUUCUAAUAGUUCGCCUAAUUUCAGUUUAUGUGACAAAACAAGCAAGUAUAGUGUAGAGAAUCAUGUACUGUCUAAACUGCAGUGAAAUAUAUUUUCCAUAACAAAAAAUAUUGUAUUUUCAGCUGUUUGAAGCUUGUGUACAAAACCGAAAGUAAAAAUGCUGAAAUUCUACUUAAGCGCAGGAAGAAUAGAAAUAGGGCACAUAAGCACAGAUCUACCACUUCUUAGACUUGCUUUCAAUGAGAAUGGCAGAUCUAUAACUGACACUUCUAUGUCAAUUUGGUCGGGUCGCCCAAAAAGUUACAUAUUAGAGCUUUAAAUAUGGCAUUUCAGUGUGAAAAUGAUUUUUACAUGUAAGAAGUUUGAGAGAGAGUAACAUAAUGUUUGUUUGCCUUGUGCUUUUUUAAGACUUGACACAGUCAGGAGCUUGCUAGCUGAAAAGUAACAAGCCAACAUUAGACUACAGUUAGCAUAACUCUCUCUAGCUAACAUUCUUACAGUAACUUGUCCUCUUUUUGUGUGUAGCCUACUUUAGUUAGCUAGCUAGUUGUUGACAGGCAGAGUGUGACAUUUCUUACACAAUGUCUAGUCUUCCAAUGCCAUGGAGAAAUGUCAAUCAAAAAGCACGUUAGCCGCACAAUAAAUCAAGCCAGACCGAACAGACAUGGGUCUAGUUGUGUUUAACGUCUCAACGCACAAGCUCAUCCAAUGACUUUUUUUUGUCACCUCAGUUUGUCACCCUGCUCACCUGGUGAACUGAAAGAAGAAAUCAGUGGGAAGAAAGAAAUGUCAAUGUCGAGCUCCAACACACCAUAUUGUGUCCUGAGGGAGGUGGUCAGCCAGAUGACCGCAGGCUGAUUGGGAUGUGCCGGUGCUGCAGGUGACAUGGCAGGGGGCUGAGGCUUUGCACUUUGUGGGUUCAGUCCUAAAGGUGGGCCAGGAGGUGCAACUGAAGAUGGACUGGGAGCGGAGGUUUGACCACAUGCAGCAACACUUAGGUAU